rnacentral:rRNA from 1 species
AAACCAGCACCUCAAGUGGUCAGGAUGAUUAUUGGGCCUAAAGCAUCCGUAGCCGGCUCUGUAAGUUUUCGGUUAAAUCUGUACGCUCAACGUACAGGCUGCCGGGAAUACUGCAGAGCUAGGGAGUGGGAGAGGUAGACGGUACUCGGGAGGAAGUGGUAAAAUGCUUUGAUCUCUCGAUGACCACCUGUGGCGAAGGCGGUCUACCAGAACACGUCCGACGGUGAGGGAUGAAAGCUGGGGGAGCAAACCGGAUUAGAAACCCGUGUAGUCC